UUUUUCAUAAAAAUACAGCCGUAGU
rnacentral:tRNA from 1 species